rnacentral:rRNA from 1 species
AAUGAACGUUGGCGGCGUGGAUUAGGCAUGCAAGUCGUGCGUGUACCCCGCAAGGGGGAAAGCGGCGUAAGGGAGAGUAAUACGUAGAUACGUGCCUUCAGGUCUGGGAUAGCCACGGGAAACUGUGGGUAAUACCGGAUAAUGUCUAAGGACCAAAGGUGUGAUUCCACCUGAAGAUCGGUCUGCGUCCUAUCAGCUUGUUGGUGGGGUAACGGCUCACCAAGGCUACGACGGGUACGGGGUGUGAGAGCAUGCCCCCGCUCACUGGGACUGAGACACUGACCAGACACCUACGGGUGGCUGCAGUCGAGGAUCUUCGGCAAUGGGCGCAAGCCUGACCGAGCGACGCCGCGUGCGGGAUGAAGGCCUUCGGGUUGUAAACCGCUUUUAGUGGGGAGGAAGGCCCUGUGCAGAGCGGGGUUUGACCUAUCCGCAGAAUAAGUGUGGGCUAAGUUCGUGCCAGCCGCCGCGGUAAAAC